rnacentral:rRNA from 1 species
UGGGGAAUUUUGGACAAUGGGCGAAAGCCUGAUCCAGCAAUGCCGCGUGUGUGAAGAAGGCCUUCGGGUUGUAAAGCACUUUUGUCCGGAAAGAAAUCCUUGGCUCUAAUACAGUCGGGGGAUGACGGUACCGGAAGAAUAAGCACCGGCUAACUACGUGCCAGCAGCCGCGGUAAUACGUAGGGUGCAAGCGUUAAUCGGAAUUACUGGGCGUAAAGCGUGCGCAGGCGGUUUGCUAAGACCGAUGUGAAAUCCCCGGGCUCAACCUGGGAACUGCAUUGGUGACUGGCAGGCUAGAGUAUGGCAGAGGGGGGUAGAAUUCCACGUGUAGCAGUGAAAUGCGUAGAGAUGUGGAGGAAUACCGAUGGCGAAGGCAGCCCCCUGGGCCAAUACUGACGCUCAUGCACGAAAGCGUGGGGAGCAAACAGGAUUAGAUACCCUGGUAGUCCACGCCCUAAACGAUGUCAACUAGUUGUUGGGGAUUCAUUCCUUAGUAACGUAGCUAACGCGUGAAGUUGACCGCCUGGGGAGUACGGUCGCAAGAUUAAAACUUAAAUGAAUUGACGGGGUCAUAGCUG